UGAAGGUCACCCGCAGGUGGGAAAUCCGACACAAAGUUGCCAAGCUAAUGGAAAACUCACUUCAGUCCCUUCCUGCGCUCCCAUUGUAUACUGCGAACCGCCUGCUAUUGCUAAUGGAACAGCCGACAAGACGUCCGUCAUAUUUACAAACAAUGUAACCUAUUCGUGCAAUGUUGGCCUCGGGCUUAUUGGAAAUGCGACGCCAAGAUGCCAAGCUAAUGGAAAACUCACUUCAGUACCUUUCUGCGAUGCCAAUGCUGCACUGACCGGUCACCAAUAUUGCUCUCAGGUUUCGGCAGUCCUGAAACGGACACAUGACUACAAGUACUUCAAUUAUACAACGGCCAAGGCAGUGUGCCACGGUCAGGGCGGAACACUUCUCACUCCAG